rnacentral:rRNA from 1 species
UACGGAGGGUCCAAGCGUUAUCCGGAUUUAUUGGGUUUAAAGGGUGCGCAGGCGGAAGAUUAAGUCGGUGGUGAAAUUUUGCAGCUCAACUGUAAAAGUGCCAUUGAUACUGGUUUUCUUGAGUGUGGAUGAAGUAGGCGGAAUUUGUGGUGUAGCGGUGAAAUGCAUAGAUAUCACGAGGAACUCCGAUUGCGCAGGCAGCUUACUAAACCAUAACUGACGCUCAGGCACGAAGGCGUGGGGAUCAAACAGGAUUAGAUACCCU